GAUGAACGCUGGCGGCGUGCCUAAUACAUGCAAGUCGAGCGAACAGACGAGGAGCUUGCUCCUCUGACGUUAGCGGCGGACGGGUGAGUAACACGUGGAUAACCUACCUAUAAGACUGGGAUAACUUCGGGAAACCGGAGCUAAUACCGGAUAAUAUAUUGAACCGCAUGGUUCAAUAGUGAAAGACGGUUUUGCUGUCACUUAUAGAUGGAUCCGCGCCGCAUUAGCUAGUUGGUAAGGUAACAGCUUACCAAGGCAACGAUGCGUAGCCGACCUGAGAGGGUGAUCGGCCACACUGGAACUGAGACACGGUCCAGACUCCUACGGGAGGCAGCAGUAGGGAAUCUUCCGCAAAGGGCGAAAGCCUGACGGAGCAACGCCGCGUGAGUGAUGAAGGUCUUCGGAUCGUAAAACUCUGUUAUUAGGGAAGAACAAAUGUGUAAGUAACUAUGCACGUCUUGACGGUACCUAAUCAGAAGGCCACGGCUAACUACGUG
rnacentral:rRNA from 1 species